rnacentral:ncRNA from 1 species
GUAGAAGCGAUGAUAAGGAUAAGUAGUAAGUGGGCUGAACAGUUACAGAGAGCCGAUGGUGCUGAGAAUCGGUACUGUUUCCAAGUAUGAACUCCCCUUUGAGCGUCUGUAUGAACUCUCCAGUAAUACAGACCGGGUUUGACCGAUCAACCCGUUAUCAAAAGUAAAGAGUGCAUGAUUGAUGAAAUCAAUUAUGAAUUAGGGUGGUACCAUGGAAAGGACAACAAGCCUUUUCAUCCCUGCG